CAAAAUUUUUCAGAUUCUCCAUCACAUCGAAUCUUUAGACUCAUGCAUGGAGUAUUAAAUAUAGACGAAAACAAAAACUAAUUGCACAGUUUGGUCGAAAUUGACGAGACAAAUCUUUUGACCCUAGUUAGUCCAUGAUUGGAUAAUAUUUAUCAAAUACAAACAAAAGUGUCAAUAUUCAUAUUUUGCAAAAAAAAAAAAAUUGGAACUAAACAAGGCCUAAAAAUCUGUUUGUUAGGACGAGAAAAGGCCGCGGAUACACGGCCUCAUAUACAAAACCAAACCGAAGGAAUAAAUGCAGCAUGCCAAAACGGCAUCAUGGAUGAUGCAUAUGUUGACAUGGAGAAUCCAGAAAAGGACCUGUACUAUACUACACUCCUGUGCUAUUUUAUUUAUAUUAACAAGGGGCACAGACAAAGUCAGUCGAGAUGAAAGCAAGCUGACUCACGAGGAGGCGGACGCGAUCUUCUCUAUUCCACUUGCUUACAUAACACGAAGCUGACUAACAAGUACUCCAGUACUACUAUUGUCUGGUCAAGUUCCAAUCACUGGACUGAGCAAAUACACCACCAAAUGGCAACAUGGCAUACACCACCAAACACCACUAUGCCAUAGACUAGCUGAACGCCUGAACCUCAAGAAAGUCGCCGUAGCCCAUCGACGCUGUCGCGACGUAUUGGCCGAUCCUGCCUUUUCUUUCUAGAUCAUGGUACGGUUGAGGUCAAACCAUUUACCGAGCUGUUUGGUCUAAGAUUGACCACCAACAGCUCCUAUUUGAGAGACAAAGCAAGUUCACCACUGUCACCUCGAUCAACAGCUCCGCAAUUUCCCCCAGGUCGGCCGGCUUCACUUCAGUCUUCGGUCCCUGUCUUUUCUGUUUCGUACCGAAGACUGGCAAGAGGGACGGGUACAUUUCUUAAGACGAGUAUUUUGGCGUACAUGGGCAUGUCAUUGUUUUGAUGUUUCUGCACUUCCACUCAACGUACGCAGGACGUAAACAUAGACGUUAUCAGCAUGUGGAAGUGGCGGCAGAAGCUGGUUUCACUUUAGGGGUAUUUGAGAUUGCUUUGCUCUACGUUUUUCAGCUUCACUUUAUGUUUUUUAGCCAAACAGUUUCAGUUUCUGCACUCAGUUCGAGAAAAAAUUGUAGAGUUAUGAGAGCACCUAAAGAGAUAAUCUACGAACUUUAGUUUUUUUUAGAGC
rnacentral:lncRNA from 1 species